UACGGAGGGGGCUAGCGUUGUUCGGAAAUACUGGGCGUAAAGCGCACGUAGGCGGCGCAGCAAGUCAGGGGUGAAAUCCCGGGGCUCAACCCCGGAACUGCCCUUGAAACUGCAGUGCUAGAAUCUUGGAGAGGCGAGUGGAAUUCCGAGUGUAGAGGUGAAAUUCGUAGAUAUUCGGAAGAACACCAGUGGCGAAGGCGACUCGCUGGACAAGUAUUGACGCUGAGGCGCGAAAGCCAGGGGAGCAAACGGG
rnacentral:rRNA from 1 species